UGCCACUUUGUUGUAUGAAAACACUCACAUCGAGUCUUAAAUUUACCUCUAUUUGAGAAAGUAAUUUGGCUUGGGAUUCCAACUUACUCAUAGAUGUUGCUAGUUGGCUUACUUGGGUCUUUAAAUUUUAAAUGCUUGCUUAUGUCUCAUGUUGGAAAUGUUGAUUGUUAGUAGUAAGAGAUUUAACUAUUUCUUCAAGAGAAUACCUUGUUUUGGAAGUGCCAAUUGUUGUUGUCGAGGUGGCGUUCGUGGGUACUAUUGGAAGUUUUACUACCUUGCUCCAUAACUAAAUUUAGGGUAAU
rnacentral:lncRNA from 1 species